GCUGCCAGGACUGUGUCCCCUGGGAGGCAGGGCCUUAUUCGCUGGAUCUGCAGUGAUCGGUGGUCUCAGGCAGGCUGCUCUCUGGUCCAAAGCAUUGCAGUUGGUGGCCACACCCAGGGCUGUGGUUCCUGCCAGGCUAGAUCCACCUGAGAAGAGGACCCUCAAUUGAGAAUGUGCCUCCCUCUUACUGGCACACAGGUAAACCUUUCUGGAAACGCCAGAUAUUGUCCAGAGAUGUGUUUCCAUGGCAAUCCUCAUCUAGCCAAGUUGGCAAUGAGGAUGAAUAAUCAACGAGCAUCAACUUUCAACUGAACUCUGGUGUCUCUCUGCCUUAAAUAUGUCUCUUGGAAACUGCUGAAUUAUAUUAAAAAAAAAAAGCUGAUGUUCGGACUUCACUGCGGUGGUAAAUGGCAGCGCGCUCUGCUGAAGAUCCCAACAGGAAUUGGACUCCAGUCAGUCCUUCACAGACCCAGCUCAAAUCUUCUGAGUGUUCUCGUGCACUCCUUGUCAGGCUGCCACCAUGGCCUUCAAAGCACAUCCCAGCCAAGUCUAGGUGCUGCUCACACUCAGGAAGACCACUCCGCAGACACCUACUCAUUCGGGCGGAGCACAGAGGAGGGGCUAACCCCAGGAUGCUCACUGGCAGAGAAGACUUUUUGCUGAGAUUGUCUUGGCAUCCAAUGGAUCUAUAGCCAUGGCCAUCCAGGAGCCCUGGGGCACCUGUGGUAGGGUCAAGUGUGAGAUGGAGCACGGAAGUGUGAUGCUGGUUGUUGGAGUGGUACCUAGGCACUGAUGAAUGUUCCUCUACCCCAACAGCAAGACACAGCUUGCUCUCAAAUAUCAAUGACGGUAGGUUGAUGGUACUUGAUUCUCUUGGGAGGACAACAGCCACACACUAGGGAGGGUACAGUGGGGAAGGAAGAGUCUCGAGAGUCCCAAGUGAGUGUUUGUGGUAGUUUGAAUAAGAAUCCCCACCACCACCUCUAGGCUCAUAAAUUUGAACGCAUAGGGAGUGGCACUGUUUGAAAGGAUUGGGAGGUGUGGCCUUGUUGGAGGAAGUAGUCACUGGGAG
rnacentral:lncRNA from 1 species